GAGCCCGUGCCGCGGGGGCGCCAUGCACGCAGCGGCGUAGCCGACCCACGCUCCCCGCCGGCAACCCACGCUCCCGGCCUCGCCGCGCCGCGUGCCACCACACUGCCCGCCGCCGGCCGCGCCGCUAUAAAUCCCGCGCCACACGCGGCCACUCCCUCUCCGUGCAAAAUCCCAGACACCAGCAGCACCACAACUAGCCAGCAAUAGCACACCGCAUCCGCAGCUCCCAUCAGCAAUAGUACUAGCUAGCAGCUUCUCCCACCUCGAGCAAGCAGCAAGAGCUUGCUGCCCGGCGUUAACUAAUUUGACACUAGCAGCUUGCAAUUCGCUUGCACAGACACGCACACUUAACGCUGCCAUGGCACCAGUGUCGACCAGCUACCUCGUCCAAGGUGGCAGCAUUGCUUCCUCCUGGGGAGCCGUUUACGCCGCGCCUUGCGAUGGGCGGCGCAGCGAGCGAGGAAGGAUGGCGGAGACGGACAGCGACGAUGACGAUGACGACUAUGACUGCGCUCCGGCAGCCUGAGGAGCCACCGUUCUGACGAAACUGGUGUGUGACAUCACAUACUGCGCGAAGUGGCCAAGAGCUUGUAGGCUUGUAGCUGUACUACUACUGCCGGAAUAGAGCGCCGCCGCCGCCGCAUGCUAAUAAUAAUCCGAUUGGUUUAGGUAUUUAGGUGUUUACGGCUUCUUAUAUAUAUGUACUCUCGCUUAGCUUACGAUCGAGGCAGUUAAGUGUGGUUUUUGUCCCAGGACUAAGCUAGAGUUCAUGCAGGCUAGCUUACUGUGUAAUCAAUAAAACACAUCGAGUUAGAUUAGAUCUGUACUUCUGAUCUGAUGAUGAAAUAAACUGAAAUUUUCCUUAAUGCAUGUGUGUACUUCGGGCACCUACUUUUUACUGCUUAACCUGCGUGCUACACUUUUGUUUGCUGAUCAGUGAUGCUCGUGCUAUUUCGAACUGGAUUGCAUGUUGCCUAUCUCAUGGUUUGUUGUAGUUUGGUCAUUGCAUGCAUGCAUGUAUGGAGUGUCCACACGACUCCGAGAGAGCUGAGAGGCGUCCUGAUCCGACCUCUUGGGCAAGCCAAUUUCUUCUCGAUCUGAACAAUGAAUACUGAUAACGGAUAUCUUAGCAUACUAAGCAUGGAAUUGAAGUAUCAGGGGUUACAGUUGCUCAGGUUUAUUAUGAGGCUUAUGAGGCUACUCCAAUGGAUUACAUGGAGAACAUAGAUGAUAAUAUGGCGGACACCAAGAAUGUUGCCCAAGUUGAGUAGGUUUAUGCUCUCAAUACUCAAGGUUAUAUGAAAAGUACUUCAACCCAUAAGGUUUCGGGGGUGCAUAAUAGUAUAAUACAUAUGAUUGGACUAUCAAGUCUACUUUUCGAUGCAACAAACGGAAUGUCAUUUUGGACUU